rnacentral:rRNA from 1 species
CCCCCACUCUGGUACUGAGACACGGACCAGACUCCUACGGGAGGCAGCAGUAAGGAAUAUUGGACAAUGGACGCAAGUCUGACCCAGCCAUGCCGCGUGAAGGAAGACGGCCCUAUGGGUUGUAAACUUCUUUUCUCAGGGGGUAAACUCCGGAACGUGUUCCGGACUGAAAGUACCUGAGGAAUAAGCAUCGGCUAACUCCGUGCCAGCAGCCGCGGUAAUACGGAGGAUGCGAGCGUUAUCCGGAUUCAUUGGGUUUAAAGGGUGCGCAGGCGGAUAUAUAAGUCGGAGGUGAAAUUCUGGUGCUCAACAUCAGCCGUGCCUUCGAUACUGUAUAUCUAGAGUCAAGUUGGAGUAGGCGGAAUGUGUUGUGUAGCGGUGAAAUGCUUAGAUAUAACACAGAACACCGAUCGCGAAGGCAGCUUACUAAACUUUGACUGACGCUCAUGCACGAAAGCGUGGGGAUCAAACAGGAUUAGAUACCCUGGUAGUCCACGCUGUAAACGAUGAUUACUCGCUGUUGGCGAUACACAGUCAGUGGCUAAGCGAAAGUGAUAA